AUUAUGCUACCUUUGCACAGUUAAAAUACUGCGGCCAUUUAAAAAUUUUCAGUGGGCAGGUUAGACUUUAAAUUUAAUUCAAAAAGACAUGUUUUUGUUAAACAGGCGAAUAUUAUUUUUGCCGAAUUCUUUACUUAAACUUAUCAUUUAAAUUUAUUUUACAAUAAAAUAUACUAAUUCUAUCAUUAUUUCUUAAUUUAAAAAAUUAAAAUUAAUAUUUCAAUAAAAAUUUAAAAUAUAAUAAAUAAUUUAAUUUAUAAAAUAAAUUAUAACACAAUUUUUAAUAAUUGCUAAUUCUAAGCAUAUAUAUUUUAAAUUUAUUUAUUAUUUUUAAAAAUUUAUUUUAUAGCUUAUCCCAUAAAAUAUUAAAAUUAUAAAUUAUUUAAUUAAAAAAUUUUUUAAAUAAAUUUAUAAUUUCUAAAUUAAAUUUAUUUCUUGAAAAACUAGAUACCUUUAAAAACGAAUAACAUUUCAUUUCUAAUAUAAUAUUUAAAAUAAUUUUAUUACAUUAACUUUAAUAUUAUAUUAACUCUUUUAAAAUCGAGAAAAAUAUAUUUAAAUAUUUUUUAUUUAAUAAACGCUGAUACACAAGGUACAAUAAAUUAAAUUUUCUUUUAAAAUAAAAAUUUUUCAAAAUAUUUCAAUUUUCUUUUACAAUACUAUUAAACUAUUAUUAAAAUUAUUUUUUCUUUAAACAAUACUAAAACUUUUUCUUAUAUAAUUAUUUUUAAUAUUCUAAAAUAAAAUAAAUAAAAUUAAUAAAUAAAAUCUAA
rnacentral:rRNA from 1 species